rnacentral:lncRNA from 1 species
GAUUCUGUGACAUUUAAUCCCUCAAUUUUGAUGUAACAGGUGAUUUUGAUCAAAGAUGAUCCAGAAAAUCCAAGCAUGAAAGAUGCAUCUGUUUUUGUCUAAUUUAAAAUGCUAUGUAAAUGUAUGUAAUUAGCACUCCCACAUAAGGAAAUGUUAAACUAUGUAAGUAUCUCACUGAAUAUAUAAUGAACAAAUUUGACAGCUAUAAUGUGUUUAUCCAUUAUAAAUACGCUAUUGUUUGAAAUCGAAAUGUACAUGGAAAGUAGCCACAAUGUUUUAUGGCUAACAUGUAUUCGUAUGUAUGGAACUAAUUCCAAACUGACAUUUUAGUAUUGAAGGGGAUUUUCAUCUUGGUUAAGGAAUCUUGGUGAAAUGUAUUGUCUUGCUACUGUA